GCGCAUGCGCACUCCAACACAUGCACUGUCAGACACGUGUAGGAAAUAAAUGCACCUACAGGCCAAUUGGGCAUUGCACAUAGGAUAACACCCGUAAAUGGACUGAAAAAACAGGCCUUGAUUUGUAGGUUGGCUAUCUAUCCAUCCAUAUAUCCGUCUGUCCAUUCAAAUCUAUCUAUCUAUCUAUCUAAAUCGUAUCGUAUAUUUCAUUUAUCUUUCCCAUCCAUCCAUCUCUUUAAGUUAUAUGUAUCUAUCUUUCUAUUAAAUUUUGCUUAUUCCCUCCUUUCAUUAUAUUUAAGGGUCCACAGUACAAUCAUAUGGCAACGACUGUGGUGUGUUUAUGUUGAUGAUAAGAUGUACAUUAUGUUUGUAGUUAAUAUUAUAUUGUUUUGCCAUAAUACUGACGUCUCUUUCAUUUAUAGUCUGCAUUGUACAUUGUGCUGGAUGCCCCAUUUGACUACACAAUUGUAAGUAUUAGUACAGUUUUUUAGUUACACUUUUUGAGACAAAGGGCAUUGACUUUUAUGUUUUGAGCAGCAGGACAUGGUAGAGCUGAGGAAAUGGUGGUGCAUCAUGUUAAUGGAGAACUUUGGACUGGACCGGUAUGGAAUUUUUUGUAUUUUGAAUAUUUAAAGCUUUUAUGAGAAAGGAAUUAUCUAACAUUCAAUUUUCAAUCACUAUUUCCCAGUCAUGUGUGGCCUGUGGGUUUGAGGCACUCUUUUCUCUGUCUCUCAUCUCCCUCUUUCUUCGCCCCCGCUCACUUUCACUCCUCCUCGUAUCGCUACGUCAUCUAAUGUGGGUGGGAGAGGUCGGUAAUUGUUAACAGGUGUAUAUAUACCUGUUGUCCUCAUCCUGCAGGAGCGACGGAAGUUAGCUGCUAACGUGUUGGAGGCAGCAGUGUUCCGGGAUGUGUUGGUAGCGCAAGGGGUUGCAUAGUGAUUGCCAACGGCACUACUGUUUGUGUGUGUGCGCUUCCGAAACGCGUAUGGAAUGUCUGGACUGACGAGCACAGAGGAGCAUUUGUGACGGUCUGGUCCAAGGGGUGGCGUAGUCACCACUGCUAUAGCCGUCAGAGGCUACACAUGGAAAAUUGUUUGCCCACUAUACAGAGGAGUCUAAAGCCUUCCUAAGAGGUGAUCAGCAGCCUGUAUUUAGGUUGCAAAAAAGGAAGUUGGAAGAAAUCUCUCAGGAAGAGCCUUUUGACGGACAAGUAACUUCUCAGGGUAGAUGAAACCAAUCUUUUCAUCUGUGAGUUUGCAUCGGAGAAGCAGGUGUCCACGAAAAAGCGUGUCAUGACGGAUCUUACAAACUGCCAGUCAGUGGGGCUUGGAGAACUCUGGGGAUCUUCUUUGCUCAGUUCAGCUUCCACUUAUAAUGUGCAUGGAGGAUGAUGAAGCUGCAGAGGCCUUGGAACAGUUCUUCAGUACAGAUUUCAUAGAGCAUGAUAGUGUAGAGCCUCUGAUGUUUGUUUUUACUUUUAUGCAGGAUCUCUUUUUUGAGAAUGUGGUGGACAAAAUGCAUCUAAGAGUCUUUUGUCGAGUA